AGUGAACGCUGGCGGUAGGCCUAACACAUGCAAGUCGAACGGCAGCACAGUAAGAGCUUGCUCUUACGGGUGGCGAGUGGCGGACGGGUGAGGAAUACAUCGGAAUCUACUUUUUCGUGGGGAAUAACGUAGGGAAACUUACGCUAAUACCGCAUACGACCUACGGGUGAAAGCAGGGGAUCUUCGGACCUUGCGCGAUUGAAUGAGCCGAUGUCGGAUUAGCUAGUUGGCGGGUUAAAGGCCCACCAAGGCGACGAUCCGUAGCUGGUCUGAGAGGAUGAUCAGCCACACUGGAACUGAGACACGGUCCAGACUCCUACGGGAGGCAGCAGUGGGGAAUAUUGGACAAUGGGCGCAAGCCUGAUCCAGCCAUACCGCGUGGGUGAAGAAGGCCUUCGGGUUGUAAAGCCCUUUUGUUGGGAAAGAAAAGCAGCGGGUUAAUACCCCGCUGUUCUGACGGUACCCAAAGAAUAAGCACCGGCUAACUUCGUG
rnacentral:rRNA from 1 species